GGGGGGAGAGGUAAGGGAGGAAGAGAGAGAGGUAAGGGAGGAAGAGAGAGAGGUAUAAGGGAGGAAGAGAGCGAGAGGUAAUGGAAGGAAGAGAGAGAGAGGUAAGGGAGGAAGAGAGAGAGGGGUAAGGGAGGAAGAGAGAGAGGUGUAAGGGAGGAAGAGAGAGAGAGGUAAGGGAGGAAGAGAGAGAGAGGUAAGGGAGGAAGAGAGAGAGAGAGACAGAGACUGACAGCAGGUAGAGAGACCCAAACAGACAGAGAGAGACUGACAGCAGGUAGAGAGACCCAAACAGACAGAGAGAGACUGACAGCAGGUAGAGAGACCCAAACAGACAGAGACUGACAGCAGGUAGAGAGACCCAAACAGACAGAGAGAGACUGACAGCAGGUAGAGACCCAAACAGACAGAGAGAGACUGACAGCAGGUAGAGAGACCCAAACAGACAGACUGACAGCAGGUAGAGACCCAAACAGACAGAGAGAGACUGACAGCAGGUAGAGAGACCCAAACAGACAGAGAGAGACUGACAGCAGGUAGAGAGACCCAAACAGACAGAGAGAGACUGACAGCAGGUAGAGAGACCCAAACAGACAGAGAGAGACUGACAGCAGGUAGAGAGACCCAAACAGACAGAGAGAGACUGACAGCAGGUAGAGAGACCCAAACAGACAGAGAGAGACUGACAGCAGGUAGAGAGACCCAAACAGACAGAGAGAGACUGACAGCAGGUAGAGAGACCCAAACAGACAGAGAGAGACUGACAGCAGGUAGAGAGACCCAAACAGACAGAGAGACUGACAGCAGGUAGAGAGACCCAAACAGACAGAGAGACUGACAGCAGGUAGAGAGACCCAAACAGACAGAGAGAGACUGACAGCAGGUAGAGACCCAAACAGACAGACUGACAGCAGGUAGAGAGACCCAAACAGACAGAGAGACUGACAGCAGGUAGAGAGACCCAAACAGACAGGGAGACUGACAGCAGGUAGAGACCCAAACAGACAGACUGACAGCAGGUAGAGAGACCCAAACAGACAGAGAGACUGACAGCAGGUAGAGAGACCCAAACAGACAGACUGACAGCAGGUAGAGAGACCCAAACAGACAGACUGACAGCAGGUAGAGAGACCCAAACAGACACAGACUGACAGCAGGUAGAGACCCAAACAGACAGAGAGACUGACAGCAGGUAGAGAGACCCAAACAGACAGAGACUGACAGCAGGUAGAGAGACCCAAACAGACAGAGAGACUGACAGCAGGUAGAGAGACCCAAACAGACAGAGAGAGACUGACAGCAGGUAAAGAGACCCAAACAGACAGAGAGAGACUGACAGCAGGUAGAGAGACCCAAACAGACAGAGAGAGACUGACAGCAGGUAGAGAGACCCAAACAGACAGAGAGAGACUGACAGCAGGUAGAGAGACCCAAACAGACAGAGAGAGACUGACAGCAGGUAGAGAGACCCAAACAGACAGAGAGAGACUGACAGCAGGUAGAGAGACCCAAACAGACAGACUGACAGCAGGUAGAGACCCAAACAGACAGAGAGAGACUGACAGCAGGUAGAGAGACCCAAACAGACAGAGAGAGACUGACAGCAGGUAGAGAGACCCAAACAGACAGAGAGAGACUGACAGCAGGUAGAGAGACCCAAACAGACAGACUGACAGCAGGUAGAGACCCAAACAGACAGAGAGACUGACAGCAGGUAGAGAGACCCAAACAGACAGAGACUGACAGCAGGUAGAGAGACCCAAACAGACAGAGAGACUGACAGCAGGUAGAGAGACCCAAACAGACAGAGAGACUGACAGCAGGUAGAGAGACCCAAACAGACAGAGAGAGACUGACAGCAGGUAGAGAGACCCAAACAGACAGAGAGAGACUGACAGCAGGUAGAGAGACCCAAACAGACAGAGAGACUGACAGCAGGUAGAGAGACCCAAACAGACAGAGAGAGACUGACAGCAGGUAGAGAGACCCAAACAGACAGAGAGAGACUGACAGCAGGUAGAGAGACCCAAACAGACAGAGAGAGACUGACAGCAGGUAGAGAGACCCAAACAGACAGAGAGACUGACAGCAGGUAGAGAGACCCAAACAGACAGAGAGACUGACAGCAGGUAGAGAGACCCAAACAGACAGAGAGACUGACAGCAGGUAGAGAGACCCAAACAGACAGAGAGACUGACAGCAGGUAGAGAGACCCAAACAGACAGAGAGACUGACAGCAGGUAGAGAGACCCAAACAGACAGAGAGAGACUGACAGCAGGUAAAGAGACCCAAACAGACAGAGAGAGACUGACAGCAGGUAGAGAGACCCAAACAGACAGAGAGACUGACAGCAGGUAGAGAGACCCAAACAGACAGAGAGACUGACAGCAGGUAGAGAGACCCAAACAGACAGAGAGAGACUGACAGCAGGUAGAGACCCAAACAGACAGACUGACAGCAGGUAGAGAGACCCAAACAGACAGAGAGACUGACAGCAGGUAGAGAGACCCAAACAGACAGGGAGACUGACAGCAGGUAGAGACCCAAACAGACAGACUGACAGCAGGUAGAGAGACCCAAACAGACAGAGAGACUGACAGCAGGUAGAGAGACCCAAACAGACAGACUGACAGCAGGUAGAGAGACCCAAACAGACAGACUGACAGCAGGUAGAGAGACCCAAACAGACAGACUGACAGCAGGUAGAGAGACCCAAACAGACACAGACUGACAGCAGGUAGAGACCCAAACAGACAGAGAGACUGACAGCAGGUAGAGAGACCCAAACAGACAGAGACUGACAGCAGGUAGAGAGACCCAAACAGACAGAGACUGACAGCAGGUAGAGAGACCCAAACAGACAGAGAGAGACUGACAGCAGGUAAAGAGACCCAAACAGACAGAGAGAGACUGACAGCAGGUAGAGAGACCCAAACAGACAGAGAGACUGACAGCAGGUAGAGAGACCCAAACAGACAGAGAGACUGACAGCAGGUAGAGAGACCCAAACAGACAGAGAGAGACUGACAGCAGGUAGAGACCCAAACAGACAGACUGACAGCAGGUAGAGAGACCCAAACAGACAGAGAGACUGACAGCAGGUAGAGAGACCCAAACAGACAGGGAGACUGACAGCAGGUAGAGACCCAAACAGACAGACUGACAGCAGGUAGAGAGACCCAAACAGACAGACUGACAGCAGGUAGAGAGACCCAAACAGACAGAAUGACAGCAGGUAGAGAGACCCAAACAGACAGAGACUGACAGCAGGUAGAGAGACCCAAACAGACAGAGAGACUGACAGCAGGUAGAGAGACCCAAACAGACAGACUGACAGCAGGUAGAG